rnacentral:rRNA from 1 species
AUACGUAGGGUGCGAGCGUUAAUCGGAAUUACUGGGCGUAAAGCGUGCGCAGGCGGUUGUGCAAGACAGGUGUGAAAUCCCCGGGCUUAACCUGGGAACUGCACUUGUGACUGCACGGCUAGAGUACGGUAGAGGGGGAUGGAAUUCCGCGUGUAGCAGUGAAAUGCGUAGAUAUGCGGAGGAACACCGAUGGCGAAGGCAAUCCCCUGGACCUGUACUGACGCUCAUGCACGAAAGCGUGGGGAGC